CUACGGGACGCAGCAGUGAGGAAUAUUGCACAAUUUUUUCCCCCCUUCUGCAGCAACUCCGCGUGGAGGAUGACGCAUUUCGGUGUGUAAACUCCUUUUAUAUGUCAAGAAAAUGACGGUAGCAUAUGAAUAAGCACCGGCUAACUCCGUGCCAGCAGCCGCGGUAAUACGGAGGGUGCAAGCGUUACUCGGAAUCACUGGGCGUAAAGGACGCGUAGGCGGGUUGUCAAGUCAGGUGUGAAAUCCUACAGCUUAACUGUAGAACUGCACUUGAAACUGGCAGCCUAGAGUAUGGGAGGGGGAGAUGGAAUUAGUAGUGUAGGGGUAAAAUCCGUAGAUAUUACUAGGAAUAUCAAAAGCGAAGGCGAUCUCCUGGAACAUUACUGACGCUAAGGCGUGAAAGCGUGGGGAGCAAACAGGAUUAGAUACCCUAGUAGUC
rnacentral:rRNA from 1 species